ensembl:lncRNA
AUUGCCAUUUGCUCUUGUUGGCCACAAAUAUUAGUCCUAGAGCCUAGGAAAAAAAGAAUUGAUUAAUAGUCCUUUUAUUUUGUAGCCUUAUAAAUGCUGUAGAUAUUAUCAAAAAAAUUAAUUUCAUAUUGUUUACAUCAUGCAACUAAUCUAAGCCUCAAACUCGUUAUUGGGGCUAUAAAGAAAAUGUUUACUUACCCACCUGAAACAGGUUAAGAAUAUUCUUAAUCUCAUUAUAGAUAAUUGCCCCCAUGGGACUUGAAAUAUGACACCUUGUGCUGAAAACUUCAGGUUGGCAAUAUUUGAAGGUUUCACUGUAGAAGAGUUUAACAUUAACUCCUAUUUUGACUUACAAAUCUUAUUUCUCAUCACUAAAAUGCUUUUGAAUUAAUAAUCCAACCCACAUGAGCUGAGAGUUUUUCUUUUGUUGGAAAAGAAACAGACAUCUUUCUGUAUGAAAGUAUAAAUUGUAUGGUUUUAGAUACAUAGGAAUUGGCAAAGGCAAGCAAAAUCUUUGUACUUCUGAGUUCUUGCUGUAUGUGUAUUUUGUUUUGAAUCUAAUUAGGGACACUAGGCAGCUGGCCAGGAUUCUUGGGUUGCCCUUGGGAGUUAAGAUUCUCAGUACUCCUAUGAAGCAAGGGAUUUCAGCCAUAGGACAAAGAUUUAUUGUUGCCACCAGAAAAGUUUACAAGUAUUUAUUGUGUAUUUGAUACAUUGCUUGAAAAGAUGAAAUCUGUUAAAGAUUCUUUUUGAUGUGCAGGUUAAGAAGAAACCUCCUUGUAUUGAGUGGAAUUAUAUGUUAAACGUAUUAGAGAAUAUAGAUGGUAUAGAAAUUUAUUUUUCUUGGUGUAGAACAACACAAUUCAGCAAAGUUUAAAAUUUGAUUAAACGAGAAGUGGUUCAGGAUGAAGAUGGACUUGUUAGAAAAUGAUCAAGUCCUUUAAGUACUUGUUUCUUUUUCAGGUUGUGAUGUGGCCAUUCCAAGAGCUUUUGUUGAGAGUUUGGUUUAUAAUUGUCUCUUUUGUCUUGUUAGUAAACAUUCAUUUGCAACAGUUUUGAAGGUGCUGAGUGGAAAACCGAAACACAUGGUUAUUGCAUAUUGGACCUAGAAUGAAAUAAUUGCCUCAAUAUUUAACAACAAGCCAUUCUUGUCUCAAAGGUUUAAAUUCCAGAAUAUCCCAUUUGCAAAUUAUAUGCAAUUGAGGUUAAUAGCAUGAGCAUCUGGGUAAUGAAGAGCCUUCAUUUACGUAAAUUUGUCACUAAAAACCAGUAGUAGCUCUACAAAAUAUUAACCUGCUACAAUGUUCAAGGAAAUGAAAUAUCUUUGUCAUUGGUGCUGAGAAGAGCAUUUAGGUAGAAGACAGUUAUGCCUGAAGAUUGAGUAUAAAUCAUUCCAACCAGUGGUUCUCAACGUUGGCUGUAUGCACUUUGCAGUCACUUUGGAGUGUUUGAAGACGUAUCGAUGCUUUGGGUUCCAUAUGCCAAGAUUCUGAUGUUGGUCUGGAAUAUGAGCUGGUCAUAAGGAUUUUUAUAACUUUCUGGUCAUUUCAAUAUGCUGCCAAGGUUGAGAACCAUUGUUCUAAAAUUCACCUUGAGUUUUCUCAUCUGCAAAAUAGAAAAAAAAAAAAA